GACCUCGUAGCUCAGUUGGCAGAGCAUUGGGCUAGUAUUCCAAAGGUCGUAGGUUCGAUUCCCACCGUGGCCG
rnacentral:tRNA from 1 species